AUUCUCGUUUAUCUAUCAAUCGAUGGUCUGGAGCGUUGGAUCGUCACUGGACGUACAAAAAUAACUUUAUGUGGAAAUCAUGUUUUCGGGCCCAUGUUGCGACCUCUUCAGCCCAUUUGGCGGUUAUCGGGUCCAUAUGCGCACGACCCAUUUUUUGACCAUGUCAUCAGGGUGUCUGAUCCAUUUCGGCUUCAUUCUCAUCACCGAACGAGGGGAGCGAAGCAUUGGGGCGAUUCAGCAGCUCGUCGGUGAUUCAUCUAUCUCGUCGGUGCAAGCAUCUACUCGUGUGCGGCAUUGAGGCGUUUGAUGGAUGGACUAUGGAGCCGGAGAGACCAAUGAAUAGGACCAAAAUCAUGCUCCAUAUGGGAAUUUCCUGCAGCGAUGUUCAAUUGGGUGCAGCGAAGUUCAAUUGGGUCUCGAUCUGGGAAUUUGCACUUGGUCUUUGUUCAGUUUCAGGUCUACAGUUAGUAUAGGGGGGAUGGAUAUUUGGGGAUUAAUAAAUGUUUGGGAUUCGAUUUGGAGAUUCCUGGUCCAUACGUGCUUACUAGCUGAGGAAUCAUGCAUGUUAAGGUGUUGUACUACUAGCUUUUACUGCUGUUGGUGAACACCACUAGCUGUGAGCUUGCAAAUAUGUGACUGAAUCAGAGUUUAUGAUGGCUUGAGAAAUCCAUAUCUCCUAAUUUUGUGCUUUGUUUUUGUGUGUUUUUAGUUUCCUGUUGUUAAAAGCUAAUGUUAAAAAUGGAUUCAUAUCUGUACCAAUAAACUGGUGUAUAAAUAAAUUGCAAUGAUGUGAACUACAUAUGCAUGUGUUUCUGGAAGUGGAAUCAUGGUCUCAUGGAUGUUAACGUUGUGACCGUAGCAGGCUUUCACUUUUACCUUUAAGCUAUUAAAAAUUAUACUAAUGCUUAGUUAAAUAUACUCCUUUUGAACUUCAAUUUUGAUGCGUAUAUCUUCCUGUCUACCUUUCUGUGCAUGCUCUGUGCUCAUGGUGACACCCGUGAGUGUUGUGACUUGGCAUUUUUACUCUAGGUUGGCUUGUUAUACGUGUCAAUGCAGUUAUGUGAUUUUUGUUAGUGAUAGUGACAUGGAUAGUACCAUGCACCGUUUAUCCAAUGACACAUUGAUUUAUGGCGGCUGUAUGACUGGCCAUAGUAAUAGGUCUUGUUGGUGCGUAUUUGUUUGAGAUGCAUGCUUACUGCUUUGGUGAUCAUUGAUAAGAUAGUGGAUUGCUUUUGCUUCAAGAAUUUUGUAGGCCACUUUGUAAGUUAUAUUACUUUUAGAUUGUUGCAUGAUUCAAAAGCAUAUAUGCUAUUUUCUUCUGUGUAUGCUGCUUCCAUUAGCUGACUGUUGCUUUUUUGUCUUGAUGAGUAUUCUUUUUUUUUAGUUUCAUGUAACUUCGGCCUUUGGAAUGUGAACUUUAUACUCCCUAUUUUUCAUUUAUAUAUGAUGGUGAUAAAAAAUAGAGGGUGUAUUUAAGUUUUAAAAAAUAUGUUUCUCCAUGUGUACAUGUCCAUCCUAUCAUUCUUUGCUCUCUGUAUGUCAACAUUUUGUUUGUUGACCUCUGAAACUUUUUAAUGUGUAUCUGUGACUCUAUGGUUUGUUUCUAUUCAUCCGACCAUGUCCCUACUUGGUUUCGUAGGUGAGGUCUGUCAGAUUUUCUUGAUCAUGGUAUAGUUCUGGGAGUUGAGGGAAGAUGUGUAGAUCAUACCUUCUUCUUUUCCUUCAUGUUUCGAUUUAGCGAUUUUUGUUUAGUUACAUGAAUUACAUAAGGUGGACUAAAAAUGAUCUCAAAUACCCUCCACCCCUGUCCCCUCCUAUGCUACAAAUACUGAACUUUUGAGGUUACAGUUAGUUCUUUUCUGACCAUCAAUUUCUUGUGUUCUGACUUUGUGAGAGAUAUCCUUUUCUUUUGUGUCUGUGCGGUGUGGACCUGCAGAUACCAGAUUAGGUUCCAAUUAGUUCUUUUCUGACCAUCAUUUUCCGUAAUCGUGAUUGCUAAAGUUCUAUUUUUUCGCAUACCAAACUAUUCUGAUAUGUCAAAGUAUUUUUCUUACACAACUCCAAUACAAGGUAAUAGCUGCCAUAUUUGUAUUGGAUACUAUAUGUUAAAUUUAAUUAUAAGGCAAUUAUGUUAUUACUUUUCCAACAACAAGUUCUUUUUAGACUCAUAUCUAAGUGUAAUUUUUUGUUGCAAUUAAUAAAGUACCACUUGCUAUAAUUUUGCUUUUCGCUGGUGCUACAAGCUUUUUUCAUAAUAUCUCUUAAGUUUGAAAUGUCAUAUCAUUUUCUAAGUACGUAAUUAGCAUAAUUUAUAUGAUAUUUCCAGUCUUUUCUUACACUGCAAAAAUAAAGUAUUACAUUGAUUAUUAUAUUGUAGGGCACAAAAAAUUUGUUGAGAGAGAACGAUUUUGUUGUAUUACAUUGAUUAUUAUAGUUUAAAUUUUUCAUAGUGAGAGAGAACGAUUUUGUUGUAUCUUAUUUUCCUGCUAACUGUAAUUUUUUAGAUUGAGGGGUAUAAUCUAUCCUCUUUUAUUCAAUAUUUAGUAGCAUUUGUUCAUAUAUGCAUCUUUGUGGACUUUAUUUUUUGAUGUAUAGGCUCAUACCUUUUCUAUUAGGAUAUGCUGCUCCUUUCUUGGAUAUUUAUCAGUUUUUGUGUGACACUACAUUCUGGUAGUUGGACUUCCUUUUUAUUUCAAUUAGAGUUGCCUAAUAUUGUACUGACACCCCAAAUUUUUUGUGUAUCUUGUCUGUAUGACCACUAUAAUUUAAAAAAAUAUGCAUGCAACUUACAUCAAUCCUUUCUUUAUUCAUUUUGCAACAACCAUGCCUUGCUACUAUGCAUUUCUAUUGCCACUUUUAGGUGGUUUUUCUUUUAUACGAAAUAACUUAUAGGAUUUCAUAUGUAUGUUCUCAGAUGCCACAUUGUGCUAACUGCCUAACUUUGAAUAAUUUUUUAAACUCUGGACAGUAAAUUGAUUUAGUUUUGAAUUUUAAUAUUCUCCAUUUGUCGAUUUGAUUGACUUGAACUCUUGUUUUUGUUGGGGCAGCAAUAGUAUCCUACUUAACUUUUAUUGUCUGACUUUCUUCGAUUUACUAAUUUCACGUGAUCGUAAUGCCUUUUACUUUUGUUACAACUGUUCUAUUCUAGCAAUAGAUAUUAUUAUCCUUGGGGAUGUCAAGUUCUAUCUUUACAAGGUACUUGCUCAAUCCUUUACUUGUACAUUCUCUUAACAAAAUUAAGAUUCAAACAUUCUAGUUCUAGCAACUAAUGUCUUUUCUUGCAUUUUGUCGGAAGAAAAUAUUUAUAUGUGUUCUUCAUGCAUCCUAUGUUUAAUCUUUUUUCUGUUGUUUUUUAAGAUAAACAUGGACCUGUCUUGCCAUGACUAUGCAUGUCUAGCCUUUUGCUGAUAUGUAUCUAUCAUUUUAAGUAGUUGUUAAAUUUUGGAGUACAAGAACUAUAAUUCUUAACAUGGACCUGUCUUGUUUUUUCAGGCCACCCAAGUGUUAAAAUUUUCAGGUUUGCCUUAUUCAGAUGUGUUUUUUUGUUGUUAUCAGCCAAAAAAUUGUACCUCUAAACCUCUAUUUUGAAGAUGUUUUUUAAAUUUUCAGCCAAAAGGUUGCUAUGUACAUGUGUAUUUUUCAGAUUUAUUUUUUUUCUUCUUAUCAGCCAAAAAGUUGUAUUGUAAAUUUGUGUUUUUUUUCAGAUGUGUUUUUUUUCUUAUUAUCAGCCUAGAAAUCGUACCUACAAAUGUGUAUUUUUUCUCUCCAGAUCUAUGACUUUUUGCUUAUUAUACUGGCCCAAAAAUUGUACUUGUAAA